rnacentral:RNase_P_RNA from 1 species
CGAGUUGGCCAGACAGUCGCCGCGUUCGCAAGAACGGGGAGGAAAGUCCGGGCUCCAAAGAGCGGGGUGCCAGGUAACGCCUGGGCGGUGCGAACCGACGACAAGUGCAACAGAGAGUAGACCGCCUGCCUGAUUUAUCAGGUCGGUAAGGGUGAAAGGGUGCGGUAAGAGCGCACCGCGUCGGUGGUAACACUCGACGGCACGGCAAACCCCACCUGGAGCAAGGCCAAAUAGGGAAGUAGUGGCAGCCCGCAAGGGUGCGUCACAGCGUGGGUCCCGCGUACUUCCGGGUAGGCUGCUAAAGGGCUGCGGUGACGUAGUCCGUAGAGGAAUGACUGUCCUCGACAGAACCCGGCUUAUAGGCCGGCUGGCGCU